AUCAUAUUGGUUAUUGAUCGUAUUAGUUAUUCAUUAUAUUGGUUAUUGAUCUAUCGAUUAUUGGUCAUAUCUGCUAUUGAUCUAUUGAUUAUUGAUCACAUCGGCUAUUGAUUAUAUCAGUUAUUGAUCAUAUUGGUUAUUGAUCUAUCGCAUCGGCUAUUGAUCAUAUUGAUUAUUGAUCGUAUCGGUUAUUGGUUAUAUCGAUUAUUGAUCUAUCGAUUAUUGAUCAUAUCAGCUAUCGAUCUAUCAAUCAUCGAUCAUAUCAGUUACUGGUUAUAUCUAUUACUGAUCUAUCGAUUAUUGAUCAUAACGGUUACUGAUCACAUUGGUUAUUGAUCCUGUUGGGUAUUGAGAGUAUUGGUUAUUGAUUGUUUCGAUCAUUGAUCAGAUUGACUAUUGAUCAUAGCAGCUAUUGAUCAUAUCGAAUAUUGAUCAUAUCGGUCGGAUCGGUUAUUGGUCAUAUCGCUUUUUCAUCGUAUCGCUUUUUGAUCAUAUUGAUGACUGAUCUCAUUGGCUAUUGGCCGUAUCGAUCAUUGAUCAUAUCGAUUAUUGAUGAUAUCGAUGAUUGACCCUAUCAGUUAUUUAUCCUACCAGCUAUUGAUCCUAUCAGUCGCCAAUCCCAUCGAUUACGGAUCCUAUCGAUUAUUGAUCGCUUUGGCUACCGAUCAUAUCGAUGAUUGGCCGUAUCGGCUACGGAUGGCGUCAGUUAUUGAUCGUAUCGAUUCGGGAUCAUUUUCGCUACGGAUCGUGUCGAUACCUGGCCGUAUUGGCCCUGGGUCCUACCGGUUAUUGAUCGCCUCCGUCGUGGACGGGUCCCUUAUCGAGCACCGCUGCCCUCGUGGGGGCAGAACGGGGCAUUUUGGGUGCGUUCGGGCGGAACGGGCCGCUUCUGCCGAAUUUCGGGCGAAGUGAGGAGGAAGUCGCGCCUGGCCGGGUUCUCCAGCCCCGUUUUAGCCUCUUUCCACCGCCCCGGCGGAGGCUUUUUUGGGGUUUCUUCGCUUUUUUUUUUUCUCCUCUCUCUUUCUUUUUGCACCAUCCUACAGGUUUCUGCUCAGAGAGGCAGCAGCUGGCGCCCGGCAACGACCCAAAAUCCCCAGCGUUGGCCCCAAAUCUCCACCAUGGCCCCAAAAUCUCCAUCGUGGACCCAGGAACUCCAGCAACGACCCAGAUUCUCCAUCGUGGACCCAGAUUCUCCAUCGUGGACCCAAAUUCUCCAUCGUGGACCCAAAUUCUUCAUCGUGGACCCAGAUUCUCCAUCGUGGACCCAAAUUCUUCAUCGUGGACCCAAAUUCUCCAUCGUGGACCCAAAUUCUCCAUCGUGGACCCAGGAGCUCCAGCACUGACCCAAACUCUCCAGGUUGGACCCCAAAUAUCUGCCAUAGAUCUCAGAUCUUGGUUAUGGACCCAAAGGUCUCCAUUAUGGACCCAGAAUCUGCAUUAUGGACCCAACAUCUCCAGCAUGGACCCAAAAUACCUAUUAUGGACCCAAAAUCUCCAUAGUGGACCCCAAAUCUCCAUAGUGGACCCCAAAUCUCUAUUAUGGACCCAACAUCUCCAGCAUGGACCCAAAAAUCUCCAUUAUGGACCCCAAAUCUCUGGCACUGGCUGAAAAUAUCCAUCAUGGACCCAAAACCUCCAGCACGGACCCCAAAUCUGCACUGUGGACCCAAACCCAGCAUCGUGGACCCCAAAAUCUCCAAAACAGAACCAAAAUCUCCAACGUGGACCCAAAAUCUCGGGCACUCACCCCAGAUCUCUGGCACUGACCCAAAUUCUCUGAAACGGACCCAAAAUCUCUGUCGUGGACCCCAAAUCACCGACGUGGCCCUAAAAUUUCCAGCAAGGACCCAAAAUCUCCAUAAUGGACCCAAAAUGGCCAGCGUGGACCAAGGGGCUCCGGUGCUGAUCCAAAACCUCUGGAAUUGACCCCAAAACCCUCAAGCCUGGACCAACGGGCUCCCACAUGGGCCAAAAAUGUCCGUCCUGGCCCCAAAAUCUCUGGGACAGACCCCAAAUCUCCUGUUCUGGCCCCGAACUCUGCAACGGGCCCCACGGCGCCGCUGACCAUGGGGAGAUGGUGGGACCGGAGCCAGGACCCACGGCGAGGCCGGAGGCAAGGCCACGGCCCCCUCGCUGUUCGCGCUGCCGCCCUGCUGCCGCGGGGCCGCCGCCGCCCCCCAGGCCGUGGGCUGCCUCCUGCGCGGCUUCUUCCCCGAGCCGGCGACCCUGAGCUGGGGGGCGGCCGUGGGGCGGGCCGAGGCCUCCGCCGCCGCCUGGGACCCGGCCACGGGGCUCUACCGCCUCAGCAGCCGCCUGCUGCUGCCGCCCGGCACCGAGGCCGCCGAGGGCGUCUACACCUGCACCGCGCACCACGCGCCCAGCAACACCCGCGUCGCCCGGGAGGUGGAAGCCUGCGGCCCCGUGGCCGUCUCGGCGCCCGAGGUGCGCGUCCUGCACUCCACCUCCUGCAGCGCCCGGCCCGGCGGCGACUCGGUGGAGCUGCUCUGCCUCGUCUCGGGCUUCUCGCCGGCCCCCGUGGCCGUGGAGUGGCUGGUGGACGGCGUCCCCGGGCUGCUGCUGGCCACCGCCACCCGGCCCCGGCGGCGGGACGGCGCCGCCGGCUACGCGGCCUCCAGCCGCACCAACGUCUCCCGCGACGACUGGCUGGAGGGGAAGACCUACACCUGCCAGGUGAAGCACGCCGGCUCCAACACCGUGGUGCAGGACCACGCGCGCAACUGCGCAGGCGGCGAGGGCCGCUGCACCAGCAGCAUCUCCACCUACGUGCUGCCGCCGAGCCCCGCCGGCCUCUACAUGCGGCAGGACGGGAAGCUGCUGUGCGUCAUCGUCAACCUGCCCAGCGACGCCGGCCUGCAGGUGCUCUGGAGCCGCGAGAAGCCCGGGGCGCUGCACCCCGAGUCGCUGGCGCUGCGCGAGCAGUUCAACGGCACCUACACGGCCGUCAGCGCCCUGGCCGUCACCCAGAAGGAGUGGGAGUCGGGCGAGCGCUUCACCUGCACCGUGAAGCACGAGGAGCUGCAGGCGCCCAUCGCCAAGUCGGUGGCCAAGGGCUCAGGCAAGGCCGUGGCGCCCAGCGUCUUCGCCCAGGAGCCGCACGCCGAGGAGGUGGCGCAGGGCCGGGUGUCCCUCGGCUGCCUCAUCCGCGGCUUCUACCCGGCGGAGGUCAGCGUGCAGUGGCUGCGCGACCACGACGCGGUGCCGGAGGGCUCCGCCGUCACCACGCCGCCGCUCCGCGAGGGCCCCGGCGACUCCUCCUUCUUCGUCUACAGCAAGAUGACGGUGCCGCUGGACGAGUGGCAGCGCGGCUCCACCUUCGCCUGCAUGGUGGUGCACGAGGCGCUGCCCAUGAAGUUCACCCAGCGCUCGCUGCAGCGCGGCCCCGGUAAAUAGCCGCCGCCGCCGCCGCCCGCCCCGCUCGCUUGGCCGCCUGUAAAUGACCUCUGUGGCUCUCCCCCCCCCCCCGAAUAAAGGC